AUGUGUUGUCAAAAUUCCUAGUAGAAUUUGUUUGACUUCUGAUCUUUGGACAGCAUGCACAGUUGAGGGAUAUAUUUGUUUAACUGCUCAUUAUAUUGAUAGUAAUUGAAAGUUAAACAAUAAAAUAUUAUCCUUUUGUGCUAUGCCUCCCCCACAUACUGGUGUUCAGUUAGCUAAGAAGCUUCUAGAAUGUUUAAAAGAGUGGGGAAUAGAGAAAAAAUUGUUUUCUCUUACUUUGGAUAAUGCUUCUGCUAACGAUACUAUGCAAAAUAUCUUGAAAGG